GUUCGAUCAUGGCUCAGAUUGAACGCUGGCGGGAUGCUUUACAUGCCAAGUCGAACGGCAGCACGGACUUCGGUCUGGUGGCGAGUGGCGAACGGGUGAGUAAUGUAUCAGGACAUUUUACAAUGUGGGGGAUAACUGCGAAAGCGUAGCUAAUACCACAUACGCCCUUCAGGAAAGCAGGGGACCUUCGGGCCUCGCCUGUAGAGCAGCCGAUAUCCGGUUGGCUAGUUGGUGGGGUAACGGCUCCUGCGGGCGGCAGUCCAGCGGCUGGUUUGAGAGGACGACCAGCCCGCACUGGGACUGAGACACGGCCCCAGACUCCUACCGGGGAGGAGCUGUUUGAUGGGGAAUUUUGGGCAAUGGGGGAAACCCUGAUCCAGCCAUCCCGCGUGUGCGAUGAAGGCCUUCGGGUUGUAAAGCACUUUUGGCAGGAAAACGGCCUGGAUAUUACCCCGUGCAGCUGACAAUACCUGCAGAAUAAGCACCGGCUAACUACGUGCCAGCAGCGCGGUAAUACGUAGAGGUGCAAGCGUUAAUCAGGUGUACUGGGCGUAAAGCGUGCGCAGGCGGUUCGGAGAAGAAGAUGUGAAAUCCCCAGAGCUUAACUGGAACCGUUUUUAACGCUACCGAGCUAGAGUGUGUCAGAGGAAGUGGAAUUCCGCGAUGUAGCAGUGAAAUGCGUAGAUAUGCGGAGGAACACCGAUGGCGAAGGCAGCACUCUGGGAUAACGCUGACGCUCAUGCACGAAAAGCGUGGGGGGCAAACAGGAUUAGAUACCCGGUAGUCACGCCCUAAACGAUGUCAACUAGCUGUUGGGGCCUUCGAGCCUUGGUAGAAGCGCAACUAACGCGUGAAGUUGACCGCCUGGGAAGUACGGUCGCAAGAUUAAAACUCAAAGGAAUUGACGGGGACCCGCACAAGCGGUGGAUGAUGUGGAUUAAUUCGAUGCAACGCGAAAAACCUUACCUACCCUUGACAUGUCUGGAAUCCCGAAGAAAUUUAGGAGUGCUCGCAAAGAGAACCGGAACACAGGUGCUGCAUGGCUGUCGUCGGCUCGUGUCGUGAAGAUGUUGGGUUAAGUCACAACGAAGGCGCAACCCUUGUGCAUUGGUUGCUACGAAAGGGCACUCUAAUGAGACUGCCGGUGACAAACCGGAGGAAGGUGGGGAUGACGUCAAGUCCUCCGGCCCUUAUGGGUAGGGCUUCACACGUCAUACAAUGGUCGGGACAGAGGGUCGCCAACCCGCGAGAGAGGAGCCAAUCCCGGAAACCCGAUCGUAGUCCGGAUCGCAGUCUGCAACUCGACUACGUGAAGUCGGAAUCUGGUAAUCGCCCGGAUCAGCAUGUCGCGGUGAAUACGUUCCCGGGUCUUGUACACACCGCCCGUCACACCAUGGGAGUGGGUUUACCAAGUAGUUAUAUUCUAACCGCCGGAGGCGAUUACCACGGUAGGAUUCAUGACUGGGGUGAAGUCGCUAACCGGGUAG
rnacentral:rRNA from 1 species